GACGUAGGGCGCGAGCGUUGUCCGGAUUUAUUGGGCUUAAAGGGUGCGUAGGCGGCUUUUUAAGUCAGUGGUGAAAUCCAGCAGCUUAACUGUUGAAUUGCCAUUGAUACUGGAGAGCUUGAGUACAGACGAGGUAGGCGGAAUUUAUGGUGUAGCGGUGAAAUGCAUAGAUACCAUAAAGAACACCGAUUGCGAAGGCAGCUUGCUAGGCUGUAACUGACGCUGAGGCACGAAAGUGUGGGGAUCAAACAGG
rnacentral:rRNA from 1 species